GUCAGGGGCUCUGUCGAUCCGCCGCUCACACAUCUAGACGUCGCGCGCCUCAGCAGUCUGAUGCACAAGGUCUGCCGCCGGAUGGUCGGUCGAUCCGUCGCAUCCGUGGGUCUGGUACCGUCGCCGACCUGCAGUAUGCCCGCCGCCGUGUUUUCGCUGCCGCCGCUCGCCGGAGUUAUUGGUUGGAUUUGAGUCUUGGAGGGAUUUUGGAAGUCGGAAGUGUGCUGUCUAGCGGUAGCAACGAUCGAUUUUAGCGGAUUUUUGGUCACUUUAGUAAGGAAGUAGCAAUUUUUUACCCGUCUCACAAAUAAAGGGGAAAGACAAUAAAAUGGGUCUUGAUUCACAAUCUCCCAUUGGCGUUGGGCUUUUGAGUUAAAGAGCAGAAAAUUCUUUGGUGUCUUUCUUUACUCUCUGCUGAGGAAGUUCAUAAACCAUGCCAUCUUCCAGUGUUUCAGCUUUGGAUUCCGAAGGCGAGGGCAAGUCGAACAUGGGUAA
rnacentral:misc_RNA from 1 species